UGAAAGGCAUGUGCUCAGUGGUACUUUGCCAUACCUGUUUCCUUGAGGCAGUUAGUUCUUGUUAUGUUCAAGGUGUUUAUCUCAUGAUUGCUUUUCGAGAUGUUGAUUUUGGGACCUCAACAAGACUUGCGGAUUCAUUUAAAUCUGCAUCAAAUUUUUUAAAAGAGAGCUAAGGAGAUUAGCAACUUAAUUAAAAGGGGAUGAAAGACAAAUAGAUGUUGAUUUUGGGACCUCAACAAGACUUGCGGAUUCAUUUAAAUCUGCAUCAGAUUUUUUAAAAGAGAGCUAAGGAGAUUAGCAACUUAAUUAAAAGGGGAUGAGAGACAAAUAAAAAGGUUAGAUUGAAAUUGAAAAAUUCAGGGCAUGGAUUUGAAGUAUAAAAAAAGGGGGAAAGAAAAGAAAAAGAAUAUAAAAGAAAUCUAAAUUUAUGCUGAAAAUAGAGAGUGGACA
rnacentral:lncRNA from 1 species